UAUAUGCCCAUCGGCAGACAUAUGGAUAAGAAAACUGUGGGAGCUGAUUUGAUGAAUGGUGGAGAAGGAAAUCUGGUAGUCCUGAAGGUUGGAGUUUUAGAAGCUGCACUGCCGACACCAUGGAAACAACCUUCAUUCAGCCUCCAUGACCUUCCUGAAUUCCAAUGCACAUAUUCAAGCAGUUGUUAAUUAAUGAAGAGAAGGAAUACAAGACCAGGGAGAAACAGCAAAGAGCAGCCUUGGGACAAGAGCCUAGCUCCUCAUCAAAGGAUACACACAGCAGUAUCUUUGAGCUGUUUUACAGAUACUGAACGUCCCUCCAGAAAGAAAAGAGGAUAGCAGCAUCUCAAAGAUAAAACCAAGAGAAGCAAAAUGGAGAAAACAACAACAGCAACAAUUCAUCUUUGUCCGGAGACAAUCCCAGAGAGGAGCCUAGAGGACUGGCCAGAUGGAUACAGCCUCCAACCCAACCUGGAACUUGGAACCUACUGGUGGGUUAGGUCAGCAGUCAGCUGAGAAGAGGACCACAAUUUGAAGCACAUGGAGGUAAGAGCAGAGAGCCCCGAGAGGAAGUGUCUCCUUUGCAAAUGGCCUU